GGGAAUGUGGCUUAGUGGUAGAGUGCUUGCCUAGCAUGCAUGAAGCCCUGGGUUCAAUUCCUCAGUACCG
rnacentral:tRNA from 1 species